ACUGCGGCUUACCGUUGCCCAU
rnacentral:snRNA from 1 species